CUCCACUUGGGGCUCCAGUUCCAUGGGGACCACCUAUGCCUCCACCAUAUGCCCAGUACCCACCUCCCCCUCCUGGCUCAGCCAUGUAUCCUCCUGUCCCAGGUCAACCCAUCCCUCCAUAUGGAAUGCAGUAUCCUCCUCCAAUUCCACCAGCAUCUUCUGGUGCUGGUCCUCCUGCUCAGACUGUUUCUUCAGGUGAAAACCAACAAACCUACACAUCAUCUGGUGAGACACAGCAAAGUUAUCCUCCUGGAGUGCAAUCUCAGAGUAGUGCACCCCUUCAAUCAGUUCCAACUUAUGUGUACGGCAAUUCUGCCACUUCAAUGCCACCUAAUGCUCAACCUGCAUAUCCAACAUCUUCAUACAGCUAUCCAUCUUAUUAUGGUGUCGCACCACCAGCUCCUCCUCCAUCUGCAUCCCAUUCCAAUGGGGACCAUUCACAGGGUAUGGGCAAUGUUCCUUGGGCUCCAAAUCCACCAGCACCCUCACCUCCAUCAUCUUCAGAGAAGCCUGCCUAUGGUGCGGAUGCAGAAUAUGAGAAGUUCAUGUCAGAGAUGAAGUGAUGACAGGAUUGCUGUAUCGCCCUGCAAUAUUAGGUAUGGAAGUUAUGUUGUUUCUUCUGUUUCCAAAUUUGUCAUUUUGGUCUUCUCUAUGCUGUUUGGUGUUCACCUUUCAGGGGCAUACACAUGUAUUAUGUGUACAUCCUCAUCCUCACGUUUAUGCUCUGCAAUGGGACAGCCAAGUUUCUUAUCAACCAAUUUUACUGGGGUUUUAAGGGGUUUUUUUCCUUUCAAAAUUUCAUAAAUGAUGAGUUUUCCAUCUUUUUAUUUACAAGAAAAUGGUGAUGAGUGUGUUUAAUGUGAAGGGUACUCAAAUCUUUGCUUUGGGAACAAAAAAAUCUUUUCAAGUUGUCUCUCUUCCCAAUUUUUCUAAGUUGUAGAGAAAGAGAAACCCAGCAGAGAGCUAAUUGUCCAGCAAUUUAACUGUAUACUGUAUAUAAUUUGGCUGUUUGUUAAUGAACUCUAGAAAGCUAUGCAGAUUCUUCUAGAUUACAAGUAUCUAUAUUCAAAGCUUGCGCCCGUCGCCCCGUCCCACAAUUAGAUCUUGGUUGCUUUUUAGUUCAUCUAUUUUCAUUCCCCUUUCUGUUUGUUUUUUGCUAAAGGAAAUGUUACUGUUUUUUUUUUCUGGAAGCAGUGAGCAUUUAAUAAUUUAUUUGUUGCUUGGUUAUCUUCAUUCUUAACAGUUCUCCUUUGUUAAUGUUGUGAUAUUUUGGCAGGCUGAUGUGUUGGAGCACUUCACCUGAUUUCUUUCCUCUUGCCGUGACUUAUUUGUUGGAAGUUUCAGACUCACAUCUUUAACCUUGUUGUACUGUUAUGCAGAGAGAUGAGACCUUCAGUUCAUUCAGCUUGUGUUGGAGCAUUUAAUCAGUGGAUUAUGGAAUAUUAAUUAUGCUUUUUGUAGGACUCGUUUUGGGGGUUGCUCCAGCAUAUGUUUCUCAAAUUUUGUUUUAAUGAUUUGUUUGAAUCUCUUGUUUACUAAUCACUGACAGUUUGUCUGUUUUGUGUGUUUCUCUCCUCUUUGACGUAUCACCGCUAAUCUCCUUUGCUUUUCUCUUCUAACUUGGUUAUGUCUUUUACCUUUCUGUGGUCGUUUAAAUAUUGAGAACUCAGAAAGCAGCCUACUACUUGCUUCUGCUAUUCCUCUCCCGAAGGUGAUGCAUCUUGAAAAUGUGAAGGUCCCCAGGGUAUGUGAAUUGGUUAGUUUGACGCCUAUAUUCACAUGUCUCGGAAUUAACUUUUAUUAUUAAUUCUGAUACAUUUUCCAGAUGUCUUGUGACAGGAAAAGAUGCUUGUACUGGAAGUUGGUAUCCUGCACUGGACUGAUUUCUGUCAUUAAAUUGCUUAUCCUCAUAGAUAAGUUUAAUUUAAACUUAAUAGUUAGAUUUCUAGGAUGUCUUUUAACAAAGUUUUGUGCCAUGGAGGAUUAGCUGAAGCCCAUUAGAGAGAAGUGAGGAUUAGGUAGCUUUGAAGUGUGAUGGGCAGUAGAAACCUAGGAACCUCCUUGGCUUUGGAAAUUUUUCUUUCUAACAGUAGUUAACGUAAUGCUUGAACCUUUCUAGGGGGGAGAAGGGAAUUACUAUUCCAAUGUUGUUCCAACCAUGAGGAGCUUGGUGUAGCAGGAAGCGGUCACUUAGAAUUUGGACACUCUUGNNNNNNNNNNNNNNNNNNNNNNNNNGGCUAGGGAAAUCACUGCAACCAUAAGAUUAGGAAGGAUGUGUUAAAAUUAGUUAUUAAUAUAGGUUUACUAUUGCUGUUGGUUUUUGUCUCCAACCCCCCCCCCCACCCCCCCCCCCCCCCGCGGGUGUUUUUUAACCUUUUGUUUUGGACCAACUUAAUAGUAGUGUGUACUGGUAGCAGGGAUAGCUCCCUAUCUCCAGAAGGUAGUUUGACUCAAUAUCAUGCUGUCACUGGUGUACGAGUUAUAUUAAGCGUACAUAGAUCAUUUAGAGCAGCACUUAGUUCUAAAGAAUCAUUUGCUAUUUUAUGUUGGAAUUUGAACUUGAUUUUUUGUCAUAUUAUUUGUUUUUUGCAUAACUAUCAAAAACAUUUAUUGCCUUCAUUCUUCUUUUAAUGGCUUGGAAUCUACUCAAUAUUGGUUUAUAUGUUUGUCCUUAUUUUGUUUUGGCAGUCAUACCGUCGGUCCAAAGUUUAUUAGUGUUCAGAUAUUCACUUAAGUUUUCCUUUUUCUAGAGGUAAACCAAACAUUAGACGAAAAGGAAUUAUUUCGUAAUUAAGUUUAAAAGAUAUUAUUGUUUUGUGACAGUAUCAUUUUCUGCUUCGUUGUUUGUGCAUUGUUUGGCAAGUGCUAUGUCAGUAGUGGGAGAGAGUUGGUAACGCUGUUGUGUGUUAUUUUGGCUCUUUUAUCUGAUUCUAUCAGUAAGUAUAAUGGAAGUCUGGAAGCAAAAAUGGUAUUCUAUUAGCUUG
rnacentral:lncRNA from 1 species